ensembl:snRNA U6 U6 spliceosomal RNA
AUCAUUUGGCAGCAUAUACACUAAAAUUGGUAAAUACCGAGAAAACUAGCCCCUGUACAAGGAUGACACACAAAUUUAUGAAAUGUUCCAUAUUUUU